GAUGAACGCUGGCGGCGUGCUUAACACAUGCAAGUCGAACGGAAAGGCUCCUGCUUGCAGGGGUACUCGAGUGGCGAACGGGUGAGUAACACGUGGGUGAUCUGCCCUGCACUUCGGGAUAAGCCUGGGAAACUGGGUCUAAUACCGGAUAGGACCACAUUUUGGAUGGUGUGGUGGAAAGUUUUUCGGUGUGGGAUGAGCUCGCGGCCUAUCAGCUUGUUGGUGGGGUAAUGGCCUACCAAGGCGUCGACGGGUAGCCGGCCUGAGAGGGUGUACGGCCACAUUGGGACUGAGAAACGGCCCAGACUCCUACGGGAGGCAGCAGUGGGGAAUAUUGCACAAUGGGCGCAAGCCUGAUGCAGCGACGCCGCGUGGGGGAUGACGGCCUUCGGGUUGUAAACUCCUUUCGCUAGGGACGAAGCGCAAGUGACGGUACCUGGAGAAGAAGCACCGGCUAACUACGUG
rnacentral:rRNA from 1 species